UCUGGUUGACCCUGCCAGUAGUCAUAUGCUUGUCUCAAAGAUUAAGCCAUGCAUGUCUAAGUAUAAAUAGUAUACAGUGAAACUGCGAAUGGCUCAUUAAAACAGUUAUAGUUUAUUUGAUAAUUGACAAUUACAUGGAUAACCGUGGUAAUUCUAGAGCUAAUACAUGCUUAAACGCCCGACUUUAUGGAAGGGUGGUAUUUAUUAGACUGAAGCCAAUAUUCCUUGUGUCUAUUGCGGUGAUUCAUAAUAACUGAUCGAAUCUCUUUUUGAGAUAAAUCAUUCAAGUUUCUGCCCUAUCAGCUUUCGAUGGUAGUGUAUUGGACUACCAUGGCAGUAACGGGUAACGAAGAAUUAGGGUUCGAUUUCGGAGAGGGAGCAUGAGAAACGGCUACCACAUCUAAGGAAGGCAGCAGGCGCGUAAAUUACCCAAUCCUGACUCAGGGAGGUAGUGACAAGAAAUAGCAAACCGGGAACCUCAUGGUUUCACGGUAUUGCAAUGAGAACAAUUUAAAACCCUUAGCGAGAAUCAAGUGGAGGACAAGUCUGGUGCCAGCACCCGCGGUAAUUCCAGCUCCACUAGCGUAUAUUAAAGUUGUUGCAGUUAAAAAGCUCGUAGUUGAACCUCUGUCUGGGGCUAGUUUUGGCUUUGGUCAGGCUAGUUCUAGGCAUCCGCCUACAAGACUUAGAGGGCAUUCAGUGUUCACUAGGAGGAGUAGGCAUUUUACUUUGAAAAAAUUAGAGUGUUUAAGGCAGGCAAUCGCCCGCAUAUAUUAGCAUGGAAUAAUAGAAUAGGACACUUUUCCAUUUCGUUGGUUAUUGGAAUCGUGUAAUGAUUAAUAGGGACAGUUGUGGGCAUUUGUAUUUAAUUGUCAGAGGUGAAAUUCUUGGAUUUAUUAAAGACAAACUAACGCGAAAGCAUUUGCCAAGGAUGUUUUCAUUAAUCAAGAACGAAAGUUAGGGGAUCAAAGACGAUCAGAUACCGUCCUAGUCUUAACUAUAAACUAUUCCGACUCAAUGUUUGACUGGCUUAUAUAACCAGUUGAGCGUUGUAUGAGAAAUCAAAGUCUUUAGGUUCUGGGGGGAGUAUGGUUGCAAAGCUGAAACUUAAAGGAAUUGACGGAAGAGCACAACCAGGAGUGGAUUCUCGGCUUAAUUUGACUCAACACGGGGAAACUUACCAGGUUAAAACAAUAGUGGGAUUGACAGUUUGAGAGCGCUUUCUUGAUUGGUUGGGUGGUGGUGCAUGGCCGUUCUUAGUUGGUGGAGUGAUUUGUCUGCUUAAUUGCGUUAACGAACGAGAGC
rnacentral:rRNA from 1 species